AUGAAUAUGCUUAUUAUGUUUAUUGUAAUAACCACAAUGUACCUACACAAUGUACCUACCCCUCUCUUUCUCUCUCUCCGAUGUCUCCCCUACAGCUCAUGGACAGAGGACACGGAGACUUGCAUUUUCUCAGAGGCUUCAGUCCAGCAGUGGAGAUUGGCAGAAUCAAGUGUUCCAUCUGAGCUAGAUAUGACGAUAGAGCAGAAGUUUGACGAGUUUGACAAGCUCGCUGCUGCUGGGCAGAAGCUUAUCAAGGAGCGACAUCACUUGGCAGAUAUUAUAAAGGAGAGGACUGAGGAACUGCAAAGCAUGCUGGGACGGAUCCUGGUGUACUGGAGGGCACAGAAAGACCAGCUGGGUCGGGAGAGGUCAAGCGAUUCAAGAAGAAGUGAUGCCCCUCAAGGAGACGCAACCAGAUUUUCACAAGGUCAACCCCAGAAUUUAUCCUCUCUGGCAGAACACAACAAGUCCUCUGAAAGCCUGUCCACAAAGCACAGGCUGAUGGUGGCAAGCCGGUUUGAAGGACCACAAAAAUCCCAACCGGGGAUAGGUCACCAUGCAGAAAACUUUGCCAAGCCAGUAAACGUAACACCACACGUCCCCUUGGCUGUGGCCGUCAACUCGCCCAGCAUUACCCUUGAAGAGCCCUGUGCUACUGUCACCCCACUGGGCAGCAGCAUCAACCUCAUCCUCAGUUUUGACCAACAGCCACCAGGGGGCGGUCUGCAACGGGGGCCAGUGGAGCCAAAGCAGGCAGUGGAACCUGUGCAUAGGGUGAGCACCUAUCUGCAAGUCACAGAUGGAAGUCCUGUUGUUGAAGACAUGGCAUCGUCUCAUGUUACUGACACGAGCCACGUGUUAACCACCUUUUCCACAAGCUCAAUCAACGCUACUUUCAUACCCCAAGUCAGGACUGGCUUGCUCCCCACCUUACCCAGAACCAGUUCCACCUCUACAUUAAACCUGAAGGGACCGAUGAAGAGGAGGAAGAAAUUGACACACAGGCACACUGAGACUGGAAUUGUCGCAAUGCCCAAGCCAGACGGGGUUACUACCGUGCCCACCAAUGUCACACACAGAGCUUACACCUGGCCACUGGAGGAUAAGAAGGAAUGCCAUGCCACACAAGGGAGUCCAGUUAAUACAGAACUCCAACUGUAUAUCAAAAAUAAUUCUGUGGUGAGUGUCAUGGAUGGCAACUCUUCAGGCACGUCAAGCAUUCCUACCGUUCCUACCAUCCUGGGGCAUUUUUUGCAUGGACCCAAUGAGAUGACCAUUAGGCAAGACAAGAACCACUAUGGCGUUAUCCCUCUUGGGUCGAUAUUGAGUUUUGACCUGCCCAAGGAUUGGGGGAAAAUCUCACAGAUAAGUGCAAAAGACCUCACAACUGAGAAAGUGCCUUUUGAAGCCAAUGGAGACCAUGCCAGUCCACCUUUGAAUCUGUACAGACCAUCAGGCUCAAACACACUCGGUCAGACUCACGUAUUGUCCAAAGUAAUUGGACAGACUUUCACCCUCAGUCCAGAGAAGGAAAGGCAUCUUGAAGCUGAUGGGGACUGUAGACCGUUAGGCUCAAAUACACUCAGUCUAACUCAGAAAGUGAUUGGGCAGAAUUUCACCCUCAGUCCAGGGGAGGAAAGUAUAUGCAAAGCAGGGGACUUUGCUGUUCUAAAUGGUUCACCUUUGAAUCUAUACAAAUUGGCAGACUCAAAUACACUCAGUCAGAGUCACAAAGUGAUUGGACAUACUUUCGCCCUCAGUCCGAAGGAAGAAAAGAGCUGCGAAACAGCUAGGCAGGACUCGCAGAAGGUCAGCUCAGAGUCUGUUUCUCUUUUGGUUCAGUGUAUCUCGCUACCUGAGAAAGACGACAUCUAUCAAGACCUAAGAAGCGCCACAAGGAGUCCUGCCCUUGCUGCUGGACAUGAGAACAUUUUCUCCAGCACUGUUGGCAUCCAUGAUGAGGAUACGGUUGAGAUUUCCAUUCCAGUAGCCAUUUUGGACUCUAACAAGCAACGCACUGAACCAAACUGCAGCAGCUCGAUGAUGCAUGACCACACCCGCACUGAACCGUCACAGAACCACAAGCCCAACUGUUUAAGUGUUCACACUAAGAUUCAAGACCUCAAUAACCACAUAUACUUCCCUUCUGCAAAGAGGCAAUUCGCUUUCCAAAGUGACCUUCGAGUUGUAGAGAUCAAGGGCUUGUCUACUGUGUCUGAAGACUCCACAUGGAUGGGCGAGCGCAGUUCUGGACGAGUCAUUGUGUGCUCUGAGGACAACUGUUGCGUGUGCUCCGACAGCCCCGCACCAAUAAUGGUAUUGGGAAAAGAAACUUCACCCAAAAGAGAACAAGAUCAUAUUCAUUCUGAUCAUUGGCAGUUUGAGGAGGAGGAAGAGGAGCUGGAGGAUAUUUGGAAUUGCACAGACCGUGAAAGAGCACCUUGAAUUACUGUGGUCCAUAAAUCUGAGGUGGUGCCCAUGCCACACUGACGUACAGACCAGUGACCAACCAGCCAGAGAUUAAAGUGACCCUAAACGUAAAGCGUCUCAGAGUAGGAGUGCUGAUCUCGGAUUAGUUUGCCUUUUAGAACAAAAUUAAUAAGAUUAUAUGGACACAUCCUAGAUCUGCACUCCUACUCUGAGAUGCUUUGUGGGAUAUGGAUACAGAUCUAGGAUCAGCUUAUUCUCCCACUUUUCCCAACUUUGACUCCAAAUGGACUUUUACUUCACAUUGCCUCAGUGACACGAUUAUCGUGUGCAAGCAGCCGUGGUGGAAAAAGUAUUAAAUUGUCAUACCUUAAUAGAAAAUGACUCAAGUAAAAGUGAGUCACCCAGUAACAUAUUAUUUGAGUAAAAGUCCAAAAGUAUUUGGUUUUAAAUAGACUUAAGUAUCAAAAGUAAAUGGAAUUGCUAAAAUGUACUUAAGUGUCAAAAGUAAAAGUAUAAACCAUUUCAAAUUCCUAAUAAUAAGCAAACCAGAUGGCACAAUUUGAAUAUAAAUAUCUUAUUUGACAGAUAGCCGGGGGCACACUCGAACCCUCAGACAUAAUUUACAAACUAAGCAUUUGUGUUUAGUGAGUCCGCGAGAUCAGAGGCAGUAGGGAUGCCCAGGGAUGUCUUGAAAAUGUGCAAAUUGGACCAUUUUCCUGUCAAAAUGUAAGAACUACUUUUGGGUGUCAGGGACAAUGUAUGGAGUAAAAAGUACAUUAUUUUCUUUAGGAAUGUAGUGAAGUAAAAUUAAAAGUUAAGUUAAUUAAAAGUUGCCAAAAAUAUAAAUAGUAAAGUACAGACACCCCAAAAAACUACUUAAGUAGUACUUUCAAGUAUUUUUACUUAAGUACUUUACACCCCUGGCAAGCAGUCUGCAAGAAUCUCACUACAGGAGACUGAAAACAUCCAUACAAGACCAAAGGAGUCAUGAAUGUAUUGUGAUGCCACAUUGUACAAAAGGAUUCAUGUCUUCUUUUUGUCUGUGUAAUACUUUGAUGGGAAUGGUUCUUUAAUGGAAAUUGGCUGGAAUUCCACAUAUUAAACUCUUAACUGGGAUUUCGACUAGGUAUCCUCAUCCCUUUUAAAAAAUAAAGUUUUAUUUAACCCUUAUUUUACCAGGUAAGUUGAACACAUUCUCAUUUACAGCAACGACCUGGGGAAUAGUUACAGGGGAGAGGAGGGGGGGGAUGAAUGAGCCAAUUGGAAGCUGGGGAUGAUUAGGUGGCCAUGAUGGUAUGAGGGCCAGAUUGGGAAUUUAGCCAGGACAUCAGGAUUAACACCCCUACUCUUAUGAUACGUGCCAUGGUAUGUUUAGUGACCACAGAGAGUCAGGACACCCGUUUAACUUUACAUACCAAAGACGGCUUUCCACUCAAUAAUUGAUGGAUGUCAAUGGCCAAUGGAGGGCCGAAGCACUACAGUCUUCUUUGUGACUCUUUCCAUUGGUUACUGGCUGUUAACAUGACUUGAGUGUAUGAUACAACAUAAAACAAUAUAACAUUACUGUAUUGAAGCAAUCAGACACAUGUAGGGUCACAAAUAGUGCAAUACACUGAACUGAAUGGACUUACCCCAUUGAAUACCAUACAAGAUGAUCAAAAUGUAUUUGCUCUGUCUUAUUUCUUUGAACUGUGUAUGAAUUGCAUGCAGGGCACAUAAAGAAACGGCUAUUUUAAUCUGCUGUACAGCAGACUAUCACUUAUAAUUUUAAUUACUUUUGUAAAAAAAUAAAUAAUAAUAAAGCAAAGAAUUUGCAGUCUCUUCAUAUUGAAUUGGUUUGUCAGUUCAUUAGUUGUAAUAGAGAGACCUUUUUCAGGUUAUCAUGAAGAAGUUCAACCUCUCAUACUCUUUCAAUGAAUUUGGAGUAUCUAGGAAGAUUGGCUUUAGGAGUAGAUAUUUUAGAUGGUCAGGCUCAGAUAUAUUCACUUUAUUACUGUUACAAAAAGCAAGACAACUUGUAGUCCAAUUCGUGGCUCUGCAAACUUCCAGUUGGGGCCAGUAACGGACCAUUUAAGAGCCUUCAUUUAUAUAGGCUACUUUAUGUGGACACAAUCUAGGCCAUUACGUAAUUCAUUGUCGAGCAGCACUGGAAAGAUAAUGUGUCACUACUAUUAUUUAUGCUCAUUUUUCAUUACUGUAUGAUCAUUCUUUCUGCAUUCUUUGUGUAUGUUUCAGUAAUUACAAGUGAUGAUUGACAUCUCAGAGAACAAACGAGCAACAACGUCACGGUAGGUCAGCCUAUCCCUAAACAAAUGACCGCAUGGGGGAGGCGGGACUUCUGCCGAUUCUGCCAGCGCGACUCAACAGAAACUAGUUGUAUUAGACACACAGCUAGGCCUAUUGAUACAGUUCAUGAAUUGUAGGGACGGGGCUUUGUCUAGUUACAAUUGCUUAAAGUCACUGAUAAACACAGUUUAUUCUUCAACUAGGAUGUAAAGCCUGCAAGUUAAUCGUUUUGGAUAAAAUGGGAUUGGAGUUAUCUAGAUCUCGUCGGAG
rnacentral:lncRNA from 8 species